rnacentral:rRNA from 1 species
UACGUAUGGGGCAAGCGUUAUCCGGAUUUACUGGGUGUAAAGGGAGCGCAGGCGGCCUGCCAAGUCUGGUGUGAAAACCCGGGGCCCAACCCCGGGCCUGCAUUGGAAACUGGCGGGCUGGAGUGUCGGAGGGGCAGGCGGAAUUCCUAGUGUAGCGGUGAAAUGCGUAGAUAUUAGGAGGAACACCGGUGGCGAAGGCGGCCUGCUGGACGAUGACUGACGCUGAGGCUCGAAAGCGUGGGGAGCAA